rnacentral:pre_miRNA from 1 species
UCUUAUGGAUGAGCAAAGACAGUGGUUUCUGGAGACAGAAUAUGCUCCUGAUGAAGAUGCUAUGAA